rnacentral:rRNA from 1 species
AGAGUUGAUCAUGGCUCAGGAUGAACGCUAGCUACAGGCUUAACACACGCAAGUCGAGGGGCAGCAUUGGAGUAGCAAUACUCAGAUGGCGACCGGCGCACGGGUGAGUAACACGUAUCCAACCUGCCGCUUACUCGGGGAUAGCCUUUCGAAAGAAAGAUUAAUACCCGAUGGUAUAAAGAGUUCGCAUGUUCUCUUUAUUAAAGAAUUUCGGUAAGCGAUGGGGAUGCGUUCCAUUAGAUAGUUGGCGGGGUAACGGCCCACCAAGUCUACGAUGGAUAGGGGUUCUGAGAGGAAGGUCCCCCACAUUGGAACUGAGACACGGUCCAAACUCCUACGGGAGGCAGCAGUGAGGAAUAUUGGUCAAUGGACGAGAGUCUGAACCAGCCAAAAGUAGCGUGAAGGAUGACUGCCCUAUGGGUUGUAAACUUCUUUUAUAAGGGAAUAAAGUGAGGGACGUGUCCCUUUUUGUAUGUACCUUAUGAAUAAGGAUCGGCUAACUCCGUGCCAGCCGCCGC